rnacentral:rRNA from 1 species
UACAGGGGGGGCAAGCGUUGUUCGGAAUUACUGGGCGUAAAGGGUUCGUAGGUGGCCAAUUAAGUCAGACGUGAAAUCCCUCAGCUUAACUGGGGAACUGCGUCUGAUACUGGUUGGCUUGAGUGCAGGAGAGGAAUGCGGAAUUCCAGGUGUAGCGGUGAAAUGCGUAGAUAUCUGGAGGAACACCGGUGGCGAAGGCGGCAUUCUGGACUGUAACUGACACUGAGGAACGAAAGCCAGGGGAGCAAACAGG